GCUGGGCAUGGUGGCGCUUGCCUGUAGUCUCAGCUACUCGGGAGGCUGAGGCAGAAGAAUCGCUUGAACCCAGGAGGCAGAGCUUGCAGUGAGCCGAGAUUGCGCCACUGCACUCCAGCCUGGGUGACAAAGUGAGACUCUGUCUCAA
rnacentral:SRP_RNA from 1 species